GCUAUCUCCUGUGUCUGUUCUAGAGUAAUUUAUUUCUACCGCUGUAGCUGGUUGUCUUUAAUGUACACAUACUAAUACUAGCUACUAUAUUAAAUAAGAGCCAUCUGGGUAUCUAGAAUUAGAUGGUCCAUUUGAAAAGCACUUUAUGGCAUUAGGCAUGUGGAGGAGGACUAGACAUUUAUAUUAACAAUUUAACAGAUGUGGGGAUUAGUAGCCCUGUGCCUUUCCAUAAUUAAGGAUCAACCAUACUAAUGUGAAUUGGGUCAAAGUAAUUUACCAUUUUCUUUUGCCACUUAUAUUGAAUGGAUGCUGUAGCUCUGAUGCCAUAGGAAAGGGUAAGUUUAGGGAAGGGAUGAAGAAGAACUCCAAGCUUGUGGCUUAUGCUAAAAAGCAUGGCCAUGGAAACUGGCGCACAGUUCCUGCCAAAGCUCUUCUUCGAAACAAAUGGUCAAUCAUAGCAUCUCACUUGUCCAAGCAAACAAACAAGGAGACCAUGAAUUAUUGGAACACCAACAUCAAGAAAUUAAAGGUUUAUCAGAAUGGAAGACAUACAUUCAAUUACACACAAACGAAAAGCCAACACCUUUGAAGCUUAAGGUGAUGAUCAUUCCAAGGACGUCAUCAAUAUGAACCACAUGACCCAAUGGAAGAGUGUUCAAUUUGAAACUCUAGCAAGAGAAUCUAUGUUCUAAGUUAAAUCUUACUCCUUUGUUCCCCCAGUUCAUUAGAUUCACUAUCAAUUAAAAGCAACAACUAUAUAAUAUACAUGCCCUCUUAUAUCAUGACCUAGGCAUUCAAUUACUAAUUAAGCCUCCCAGGUAAAAAGUUUACUAUUUCAAUCAAUGUAUGACAAUUACCAACAUCAAAAGUUUACUCUAAUAUAAGAGUGAUGGUAAUCUCAUUGAAACUAGUAGUUAAAUUCAAAAGAUAAUGAAAGCUUACGUGUCAAACUUGCAAGAUAGUAAUAUUUGUAAAUAUUUAUGUAAAAAUUGACUUUCUACAUCCAAAAUCACCAUAAUGCCAUCAUUUUGUAAGUUUGACACAUAAUUUUUCAUUAUCUUUUAAGUUUGACUAUUAAUUUUUAUGACAUUAUCAUCAUUUGUAUAUAAGAAUGAUUCUUUUUCUUUAAUGGAAAACUGCCUUACAUUGGUUGAGUUAAUAAGCUUUUUAUCUAGGAAGCUCAACAUAGAUAUUUGUCAUUGAAGGUCAUGAUAUCUAACAAGCAUAAGGGCAUAUAUGCAUGUUAUACACAUCAUUGUUGUGUUUGGUUGAUAGUGAAUCUAAUGAAUUGGAAAAACAAGGGAGUUGGAUCCAACUUGCAACUUGUAUUCGUUUGCUAUUGUGCCAUGCGUGUGGUUCAUAUUGAUGAUGUUCUUGGAGGUCACAAUCAUAAGCUUCAAAGGUGUUUGCUUUUGACUUUUGGAUAAUGGAAUUUUUGUCCAUCUAGAUAACUCUUUUGUUGUUAAACUUGAAAGAUUAUCCACUUUAAGUGAUGUUAAAUUUAUCACUUUUGAAGUUUCUAAAGUGAUGAUGAAUUUAACAAAACUUAAGAGAUAACUUUAAAGUUUAACAAUCGAAAAGACUUAUCGGGAUGGACAUAAAUCUCAUUAACCACAAUCUAAAAAUCAACACUUUAAAAAACUAUACAGAAACAACCAGUACAAGUAUGUUGUCAAUAUGAAUCACACGACAUAAUGGAAGAGUUGGAUUAAUUUAGCUC